rnacentral:rRNA from 1 species
AGUGAACGUUGGCGGCGUGGAUUAGGCAUGCAAGUCGAGCGAGAACCGUAGCAAUACGGGGACAGCGGCGAAAGGGACAGUAAUGCGUAGGUACCUACCUCCGGGUUCGGGAUAGCUGCGGGAAACUGCAGGUAAUACCGAAUAACGUCUCCGGACCAAAGGUGUGAUUCCACCUGGAGAGGGGCCUGCAUCCUAUUAGCUUGUUGGCGGGGUAACGGCCCACCAAGGCGACGAUGGGCAGCGGGUGUGAGAGCACGACCCGCGUCAUUGGGACUGAGACACUGCCCAGACACCUACGGGUGGCUGCAGUCGAGGAUCUUCGGCAAUGGGCGCAAGCCUGACCGAGCGACGCCGCGUGCGGGAUGAAGGCCUUCGGGUUGUAAACCGCUGUCGUUGAGGAGGAAGUGCAGGGGGGUUCUCCCCUCUGUUUGACCUAUUCUAGGAGGAAGGACGGGCUAAGUUCGUGCCAGCAGCCGCCGCUG